UACGUAGGUGGCAAGCGUUGUCCGGAAUUAUUGGGCGUAAAGCGCGCGCAGGCGGUCCUUUAAGUCUGAUGUGAAAGCCCACGGCUCAACCGUGGAGGGUCAUUGGAAACUGGGGGACUUGAGUACAGAAGAGAAGAGUGGAAUUCCAUGUGUAGCGGUGAAAUGCGUAGAGAUGUGGAGGAACACCAGUGGCGAAGGCGACUCUUUGGUCUGUAACUGACGCUGAGGCGCGAAAGCGUGGGGAGCAAACAGG
rnacentral:rRNA from 1 species